UUAUUUUGUGGCACCCUUGGAUGGCUGCUGUGUUUGUGCCUAGGUGAACUGAAGUUAAGUUCACCUCGGGUGGAUUUCUGUGUCCACAGUGCCUGAACACAGUGACAAAGCCCAGCCUUAGACAGGACAAGGUUUGCAUCACUUGAGUGCUUCCUCCUGGCUGGUGUGCUCCUUUUGGCCAAGCAGACGGUGCAGCAGUUUGCAGAGGCUGUCCAGUGUGUCUGUGUUUUCUCUGUCAUUACAGCUCCUGAGAGGAAAGUCCAGAAAGUGCCAAAUCCAGCCAGGCUCUGCAUGCCUAACAAGGAUGCCAUCCCCACCACAGAGCAGUGUAAGAACUCCCUCAGCAGAAGAGCUUGGAGAGAGCAAGGGAGCCAGUGGAGUGGCUGUACCUCCCCAGCAUGAUGAGGAAAAUGCUGUUUCAACCGAACAGGAUAUCUUAAUUUCAGGGCACAGAGAAGCCAGGGCAUGGAGAAACCCCCUCAUACAGGCUGCAGCCAGCACAGGGCUUUGGUACAGCUGGUGACUGGAUGAAAAGGGAACUGAUCUUUUAUCCACACCUUAAGGACAGGAGGCAAUGAUCCCAAGUUUUUUGUGCUGGUAUGAUGAUGCUACAGCAUUAUAAAGGUGUGAAUCCACGUGGCUGUGGGCACACCCCAAGCCCCCAGCCAGGAUGAGGAAUGAGCAAGGAGCUUGUUUUCACCCGUCUGGCUCCUGUGGGACAUCAUCUCCUCGUGUUUCGCCUGUUGGCAUUGGUGGAGGCAGCAUGAGCUGGCAGCACAGCAGAUCUCCUCAGUGCAGCAUCAGAGGCACAAAGUCCUCCCUCCUGAAGCUCAGAGGAGAUCCAGUUACCACCUCAGCUGCCCUCUUCCAAGGACAAUUCACUGCCAAAGCUCACAAGUCCAAACCCAGGCUCUUCAGCAGUAUUCCUGUAGCUGCAGACAGUGCUGAGGCUUUCUCACAUUCUGCUGGCAGGAGAAGCUGUAGCUAUAAGCUGAAUUCCAAGUGCAGUAAAUCCUGCUGAAGACUCCUGAGUUACAUGCAGGAAGGAGAUGAUGCGUGGUGUGUGUACAAUUUGCUGGGAAAGCAGCGACUGCUCAUCAGCCUGGAGUCAUGGAUGGGGCUGUGAAUGAGAUCAGCAGCAUGGGAAAUUCAGGCAAUGGGAAGGGCUGUGGAGAGGGGAGCAGAGGCUGUGGCCCAUCCUGCUGCCAUCCAGCCGGCCCAGGGAGCUCUGGGCCUCACAGGAUCAGCGCUGGGCCCCCACCCACACACAGCACCGUGGUCCUGGCACACACUG